CUUGUUUUUAACAAUGUUCAAUUUUUUUUUAUUCAGAAUACUUGUGUCAUUCAUGUAAAAUAGUUUGAUACAGUACGUUGUAUGUUAUAGCUUUUUAUUUUCCCCUCAAAAGUUCUAAGGCUCUCCUACUCCCUCUCCUUUGCUGAAGUAAGGGCACCCUAAAAAUGUGCGAACAACCUUUUAAAAAGAAAGUUAACUGAACAAAAUUGUAAUAGCACUACACUAGGCAGCUUCAAAUCAGGACAGAAGAGUGCGGACUGACGCCGUGCCUCGCAGAGGUCACCGUGCCUCGAGGAGGUCACCGUGCCUCACGGAGGUCGCCACUCAUGCUUUUGUAUUCAGAAAGCAUGCUCACAAAUCAGCAACACCAACGAGGAAAAGAAAACCCUGUCUGCAACACUCAUUUCAGUUUGCUGAACCAACAGGCUUCUAUCAAUGACAACAUAUUUAAUUACUAUCAAAUAGCAGCUUUAAGACCAGUCAAGUCGUCAUAGGUUGAAAAUAAAAACAAACCUCUAAGUUGGAAAUUAAUCUUUGGGAGCUCUGAAACCUGUCAGUAGAAACUAUGUGGUUCUUUUGUACUUUCAAAACAAUCCAAGCAAUAUUCUUGGUCAUAAAACACUGAUUUAUGUAGAAGAUGAAUCAACCCACUGAUAAGACACUAAAAAGAAAGGUGUACCAAAAUAAUCUUUAAAUCUUGGUUAUUUUGUUAACAUAAUCUGUGUUUCAAGUACCAGUUAAACCUUGCGUCUGUGUGUACUAUUGGUCAGAUCACGCUGUUACACUCAAAGUCACCACACACGAGGACAAAUGCUCGCCCUAGCACAUUUCACAGCUUCAACUGCUACAGACUGUCACUGAAAACUAUGCUUGGUCAGUCUGAACCAUGUCAAGUAAACUAUGGAAGUAGCAAACCCACAACACAACUGUGCUAGCACUUUCAUUUCAAGUCUAACUCCAAACUUAGGUACAACCUGGAAGCUACCACCCCAAUCUGUGACAACUGGUGGAACUCGGCUACUGGACAUUGUGAAGAUGUGGUUGUACAGUACAUUCGCAUGGCCCACACCAGGUUCCCGCGAGUGCCGCAGCCAGUCCUGCAGCAUGAGCAACAGUGCACUGACAGACUCCAGCACAGCUCAGUACCGAUGUGUCUGAUGCUCUUCUUCUGUUAAAAAUUCUCGUUUGGGAUAUGGGAUCUGACAACCGGCGAAAACACUAGUCACAAGAGAAAAAGAAGAGAGCUGUCUCACUGGCUGCCUGGUAUUUCCAAUGCUUCAUCUAGGUGACUCGCUGUCACUCUCUAAGAAGACGGGACUGUGUUUCCAUAGUUACAGAGAUAUAAGCAUCUUUCAUGCGAGUCUGAUGCAAAAAAAUCCUUUAACCAAUGACACUGCAGCAGGCAGUCUGAAGGUCCUUCUCUG
rnacentral:lncRNA from 1 species